rnacentral:rRNA from 1 species
CGCUUCUUUUUCCACCGGAGCUUGCUCCAUCGGAAAAAGAGGAGUGGCGAACGGGUGAGUAACACGUGGGUAACCUGCCCAUCAGAAGGGGAUAACACUUGGAAACAGGUGCUAAUACCGUAUAACAAUCGAAACCGCAUGGUUUUGAUUUGAAAGGCGCUUUCGGGUGUCGCUGAUGGAUGGACCCGCGGUGCAUUAGCUAGUUGGUGAGGUAACGGCUCACCAAGGCGACGAUGCAUAGCCGACCUGAGAGGGUGAUCGGCCACAUUGGGACUGAGACACGGCCCAAACUCCUACGGGAGGCAGCAGUAGGGAAUCUUCGGCAAUGGACGAAAGUCUGACCGAGCAACGCCGCGUGAGUGAAGAAGGUUUUCGGAUCGUAAAACUCUGUUGUUAGAGAAGAACAAGGAUGAGAGUAACUGUUCAUCCCUUGACGGUAUCUAACCAGAAAGCCACGGCUAACUACGUGCCAGCAGCCGCGGUAAUACGUAGGUGGCAAGCGUUGUCCGGAUUUAUUGGGCGUAAAGCGAGCGCAGGCGGUUUCUUAAGUCUGAUGUGAAAGCCCCCGGCUCAACCGGGGAGGGUCAUUGGAAACUGGGAGACUUGAGUGCAGAAGAGGAGAGUGGAAUUCCAUGUGUAGCGGUGAAAUGCGUAGAUAUAUGGAGGAACACCAGUGGCGAAGGCGGCUCUCUGGUCUGUAACUGACGCUGAGGCUCGAAAGCGUGGGGAGCAAACAGGAUUAGAUACCCUGGUAGUCCACGCCGUAAACGAUGAGUGCUAAGUGUUGGAGGGUUUCCGCCCUUCAGUGCUGCAGCUAACGCAUUAAGCACUCCGCCUGGGGAGUACGACCGCAAGGUUGAAACUCAAAGGAAUUGACGGGGGCCCGCACAAGCGGUGGAGCAUGUGGUUUAAUUCGAAGCAACGCGAAGAACCUUACCAGGUCUUGACAUCCUUUGACCACUCUAGAGAUAGAGCUUCCCCUUCGGGGGCAAAGUGACAGGUGGUGCAUGGUUGUCGUCAGCUCGUGUCGUGAGAUGUUGGGUUAAGUCCCGCAACGAGCGCAACCCUUAUUGUUAGUUGCCAUCAUUUAGUUGGGCACUCUAGCAAGACUGCCGGUGACAAACCGGAGGAAGGUGGGGAUGACGUCAAAUCAUCAUGCCCCUUAUGACCUGGGCUACACACGUGCUACAAUGGGAAGUACAACGAGUCGCAAAGUCGCGAGGCUAAGCUAAUCUCUUAAAGCUUCUCUCAGUUCGGAUUGUAGGC